rnacentral:tmRNA from 3 species
GGGGAUGACGGGCUUCGACAUUUUUUAUGUCAUUUGUCUUGCAAGUCGAGUAACUCUGUAAUCUCGUUAAUCUUCGGAGACCAAAUAUAACUGCCAACUAUAGCAGAAUACCGGUGAGGGCUUUGGCCUUUGCCUAACCGAGUUUGACUCGGCGUCCAGUCAGUUGAUUCUCAAUAAAUUGGUUUGGGCGUAAAAACAUUGAGAUCGGGGGCAGUCUUGUCUGAUGAUUGUUUCCCAAAAUUUAUUCAGAUUCCUGAAAGUAAAGUUUGCUGAUUUGACUCUUUCAGCAGCAAAAAAUCAGUCCUAAACUUGUAGACGGGCUUUGAUACUAAAAAAUGGACGUGGGUUCAACUCCCACCAUCUCCACCA